rnacentral:rRNA from 1 species
GGAGCAUGUGCACACUUUGUCAUGNUUUUUUAUUUUCCACCUGUGCAUCUUUUGUAGACUUUGAUCAUCUGUUCCCUCAUCUGAGUGCAUUCUCAGGUUUUUGAGCAUUGAUUCUAAGCCUAUGUAUAUAUUAUCUACUCAAGUCUAUGUUAAUAGAAUGUACUAUGGAAUGGCCUUUUGUGCCUYGAUUUAAACACAACUUUCAGCAAUGGAUCUCUAGGCUCUUGCAUCGAUGAAGAACGCAGCGAAAUGCGAUAAGUAAUGUGAAUUGCAGAAUUCAGUGAAUCAUCGAAUCUUUGAACGCACCUUGCGCUCCUUGGUAUUCCGAGGAGCAUGCCUGUUUGAGUGUCAUUUAUGUAUCAUCAACCUCAUUGAGUGUUGGAUUUCUGGGGGCUUGGUGGUCUUUUUCUUAGGUCAGCUCCCCUGAAAAAUAUUAGCGGAACAAUUUAUGUUUCAUUGGUGUGAUAAUUAUCUAUGCUAUUGAACAUGAAGUGAGUUUAGCUUCUAAUAGUCCAUUGAUUUGGACAAUUUCAUUAGUGUGACCUCAAAUCAGGUAGGACUACCCGCUGAACUUAAGCAUAUC